rnacentral:rRNA from 1 species
CCUACGGGAGGCAGCAGUGAGGAAUAUUGGUCAAUGGGCUUACGCCUGAACCAGCCAAGUCGCGUGAGGGAAGACUGCCCUAUGGGUUGUAAACCUCUUUUGUCAGGGAGCAAUUGGCGCUACGUGUAGCGUUAUCGAGAGUACCUGAAGAAAAAGCAUCGGCUAACUCCGUGCCAGCAGCCGCGGUAAUACGGAGGAUGCGAGCGUUAUCCGGAUUUAUUGGGUUUAAAGGGUGCGUAGGCGGAAUGCCAAGUCAGCGGUAAAAUCGCGGGGCUCAACCUCGCUCCGCCGUUGAAACUGGUUUUCUUGAGUGAGCGAGAAGUAUGCGGAAUGCGUGGUGUAGCGGUGAAAUGCAUAGAUAUCACGCAGAACUCCGAUUGCGAAGGCAGCAUACCGGCGCUCAACUGACGCUCAUGCACGAAAGUGUGGGUAUCGAACAGGAUUAGAUACCCGGGUAGUC